AUUGAACGCUGGCGGCAGGCCUAACACAUGCAAGUCGAACGAGUGGCGGACGGGUGAGUAAUGUCUGGGAAACUGCCUGAUGGAGGGGGAUAACUAUUGGAAAAGGUAGCUAAUACCGCAUACUCUCCGAUUGGCCCAGAUGGGAUUAGCUGGUUGGUGGGGUAACGGCGCACCAAGGCGACGAUCCCUAGCUGGUCUGAGAGGAUGACCAGCCACACUGGAACUGAGACACGGCCCAGACUCCUACGGGAGGCAGCAGUGGGGAAUUUUGCACAAUGGGCGCAAGCCUGAUGCAGCCAUGCCGCGUGUAUGAAGAAGGCCUUCGGGUUGUAAAGUACUUUCAGCGGGGAGGCGUUACCCGCAGAAUAAGCACCGGCUAACUCCGUGCCAGCAGCCGCGGUAAUUC
rnacentral:rRNA from 1 species